ACUAGAUCCAAAAUUACUAUCAUUUUAACAGGUACUCAAAAUUAUUAAUGAGAUCUUUUACAUUCUUUUAGAAGUGUUUCAUAACGUCUCUGCAGCAGCCACAUUCCCCAUGCUCAGCAGCGGCUCACAGCCUGGAUGGCAGUGCGGUGUAGACAUUUGAGCUGUGGGCAGGACUCUUCCCGGUCCUCAUGGCUGAGCACACAGUGCCGGGCCAGGUGGUGCACACUGGGGGACCAUGGGCCGGGCUGGUCCUGGCUCUGCACUGUCCCUGUGACCCUCGGGAUGUUCCUCAGCAUCUUUUGGCGAUGGUUCCUUUCCUGUAGGAUGCGAGGCCGACAGCAUCUGCUGCUAGGAGUUGUGAGGACACGUGAGUUCAUUUCAGUUGGGUGCAGCGCUGGCCUAGUAAUCUCACUGACCCUUGGUCGCUCAGCCAGUGACUGUGCCCACCUGCCACCAUCAUAAGAUGGCGGACUUGGGGGUCAGGAGAGCCCUUCCAGGACUGCAGAAGCUGGUCCUUGGGGGUCUCGCAGCAGAUCCUGGGGGCGUUCCCAGUAUGGGUGCAAUGUACAUGGGGGGCUCAGGACGGGAGGCCCAUGCCAGCCCCUGGGCCUCCAGAGCUGGCAGAAGGCACAGCCCUGCAUGGCCAAGGGCGCUGGGCUGCGUGGAGAAUGUGCGGGUUCUGUUGUUUUGCCAGCUUUAGCAGUUUACCCAACCUAACAAAAAAAAAGGAUAUGCAACUGGGACAGCAUGUGGCCCACGAAGCCUCAAAUAUUGCCUCUGGCCCUUCACAGAACACGUGUUCUAGAAAGGAAAUCCUAUGCUCGUGGGCUAGGGGCUUGCUGGGUGGGGAGAGGGGUUCAAAACGUGGUUUGUCACUUCCUAUGAGGGUGAUCCGACAGGACUUCGUGGAGACGGUGGCGUUUAAGUGGCCUAAGAAGAACUGGAAGGAUUCAGAGGAGCGGAGGGACGUGGCCUGGUGGGCAGAAGUCAUGGCUGGGUGUCGCAGGCUCUGUGCAGCUCUGACAGCUGCAAUGCAGGCAGGCACCGCCCCCCCCCCCCCCAAUGCUUUACGGCCAUCGGGUCUGCAAGUUAUAAACUUGGUUACCCCCAGAACGUUGUUUAAACAGUACUGUGUUCUAGAACAUGCUGAGAUAGCAUUUAUGCAACUGAUGCCAAGGUGUGGAACAGGUUAGUCUGGCUUUUUCCUCAACAAUCCAGGAGGAGGACAGGGAGAAGGCAGCAUUGUUCCUGAGCGGGUGAGGCCAAUUUCAUCCUGAGUGAUAGUGACAGUAAUAACUGAUAAGAAAUGAAAUCACAGCUUUUCACACGCAGAGCCUGACUAAUGGCUGACCCUUCCUCCAUCUCUGGGUGCUCAUGCUGGAGAGCGAUGGGCCCUCCCUCCACUGCCGGGGGGGGACGUGCUGGAGAGUGACAGGCCCUACUUCCAAUCCUCGGUGUUUCUGCUGGAGAGCAAGGGGCCCUCCCUCCUCUCCUUGGUGCACGUGCUGGAGAGUGACGGGCCGGCAGUUCACGCCUCGUGCUCCUGCUGGAGAGCGAUGGGCCCUCCCUCCAAUCCUUGGUGCACAUGCUGGAGAGUGACAGGCCCGCAGUCCACUCCUGGUGCUCCUUCUGGAGUGACAGGCUCUCUCUCCACUCCGUGGUGCACGUGCUGGAGAGUGACGGGCCCGCAGUUCACUCCUGGUGCUCCUGCUGGAGUGACAGGCUCUCUCUCCACUCCGUGGUGCACGUGCUGGAGAGUGACGGGCCGGCAGUCCACUCCUCGUGCUCCUGCUGGAGAGCGACAGGCCCUCCCUCCAAUCCUUGGUGCUUCUGCUGGAGAGCGACAGGCUCUCCCUCCACUCCUCGGUGUGCGUGCUGGAGAGUGACAGGCCCUCCCUCCACUCCUCAUGCUCCUGCUGGAGAGCCGCAGGCCCUCCCUCCACUCGUGCUCCUGCUGGAGAGCGACAGGCCCUCCCUCCAGUCCUCGUGCUCCUGCUGGAGAGCGGCAGGCCCUCCCUCCGGUCUUCGGUGCGCGUGCUGGAGAGCGGCAGGAGCUCGGCCUUCUUAGGGUGUUUGGGACCCCAUCCAGCGUGGUUUUGCUUUAGUUCCCCGCCCAGGGAGAGGAGCUCGGCAAGCAGCACCGGGUUUAUUCUUGCUCAUUUAUUCAAAAGAAAGGUACUGAGUUUGAAAAUGCACCAAGCACUGGAGAGAAGAGAAAGGUGAGAGGACCUCGGGGCCUGCCUGUAAGAGGCUCAGGAUGUGGCUGGGGAUGAGGCCCAGUGGCACCUUCAACGCAGGAGAUGAGGGGGUCUGGAUCCCACCGUCAGAGCACGCACGCAACCUGUCCACUCCCUCAGGACUGCAGAAAAGGUCCAUUCUUGUAUUUCUUUUUAAGUUGAAUUAAAUCCAUCUCUAGCCCCUGCCUCUGAACUGAUGGAGUGUGGCUGUUAUUGGGCCGCCCUCACCCGCAAGGGGUGGAACCAGAGCUUGGGGCUGAGGCGCUCCUGGAGUGUUUAGCGCCUCUGCUGUCAGGACAUCCUGUGGCCACUGGCACGCUGUCUUCCCACACAGAGCCCCCGACCAGCAGCGGAGCCACCCACUCUCCACAGCCAGGGUUGGGAGCCCUGGGGCCCGAGUCCCCGGUCCCACGUGCCACACAAGGCAGGACAUUCUGGGUGCUGUCGCAUCCCCGGAAUCAGGGCCUGGACCCUGGUCAGAGCAGGACCUGCAGGUGACCCCGGGUGGGGCAGACUGUCUUCUGUCCUUGGUGGCAAAGCCGGUGUUCUCGGCGUCAUGUCUGCACACGUGUGCCUGAAGCCACGGGAACGCAGGGGCUACCUCCGGGCCUGGGCCUGGGCUGUGGAGCAGGAUCGGGGAGGACACACAGGUGGGCGUCUCAAGAACUGUGGUGUACACAGCUGAGCCCCUGCAGCUCUGCUUUGCCGGGCCUCACCCUCGGUGCUGGGUGCAAGACGUGACAAGAUGGCAUGGGAAGCUUCCCGGGGAACGCUGGAACUGGGUGUUUGAAGGAGGACCUCAUGGCGGCAGCUCCAGCCCAAGUACUGCAACUGUGGGGCCGUGCCAGGAGCAGGUGCUGCGGAGCCUGUGUGGGUCCAGGACAAGAGGUAAGGGGAGUAUGGACGGGGCUGCACUGUCCUGGGGUUGAGGGCAGGCUUCAGGGGGUAACACUGAAUAGGGACUAGGAAGGUGCAUGCCAGGGGGGGUCCAGGCAGAGACAAGUGGGGGCACAAUCCUCGAGGGGGCAUAGAAGAGGCCAGCAGUGUAAGGCAGGAUGGCGAUGCCCACGGGCUCCAACGCCUGCUGUGUAACUGGAAUUCUGUCUGUGGCCUCCGGCGUCUGACAUGCGUUCUCACACCUGCAGGAGCACCAGAAGCCCCUGGAGGGCCGUGCAGACGACACUGUCGGGCCGGCCCAGCCCAGGCCCCAGCAGUUAUGACUCCUCUGUGAUCAGAGGAUGUGGCUGAGGAUGUGCAUUUCCGUCAAGUUCCCAGGAGAACCUGGUGCUGCUGCUUCGGGGACCCCACUUUGAGGACCACUGAUCUAACACUGCCCCUCGUGGCAAACGCGGAAUGACUCAAGAUUCAGCUGGAUGGAUCAUUCAGGGAGCAAAUCCACCUUUGCCGCCUGGCACACCCUGGCCAUUCGGUAACGAUGCCAUCAGGGUUACUGGCUUCUUCAUUCUCCACUGUGCAUUCCAGGGUGGGCAUUUCCACAGUUGUGAGCCCAUCAUCAACUCAGCGAGUUCCCAUUUUCCAGUUAGAAAAUAAGCUUUCUGAUGGUUAGCCAUUCACUUCACUUGGCUCUAGAAAAGAUUUCAGGAAUGUAUAAUUUAUUUUUAACAUAAAGAAAAGCUAAGUGUAAACUAGAUAAGCUACAACAAUUGUCCCAGACAUUAUAGACACUCACAGCACCGUUUUCCUCUUCUAGCAAAACAAAACAAAAAAUUCUGCAAUCAUACAGGCAGUAGGAAAAAAAAUUAGCUGGACACCAUGGCUCACACCUGUAACCCCAGCACUUUGGGAGGCUGAGGUGGGAGGAUCACUUGAGGCCAGGAGUUAGGGACUGGCCUGGGCAACAUAGUGAGAUCCCAUCUUUAUAAAAAUAAUAAAAAUCUGGGCGUGGUGGAGCACACUUGUGGUCCUAGCUACUCAGGAGGCUGAGAGUGGGGAAUCGUUUGAUCCCAGGAGGUUGAGGCUGGAGUGAACCAUGUUUGCACCACUGCACUUCAGCCUGGAUGGAUGACAGAAUAAGAUCCUGUCUCAAAAAAAAAAAAAAAAAAAAACAGGAAGAAAUAAUCCGGGUAAGAAACGAGGCAAUGAUACUGUCACCUGGCCUGGCCUCAUGCCAGCAGCAUGGGGGUGGGGCUUGGGAGGGAGGGUGGAUUUAGGCUUACCAGCUUACUAGGGAACCUUGAUCUCUGUUUCUAAUUUGCCGGGCUCAUGUCUAGCUGGAGCCUGGGCACUGCUGUCUGCUUUCCUGCACAACUGGCUGGGGACAGCUCUGAGCCCUGGGCCUGUAAAGGACAGGCUCCAUAAUCCUCUGGCAAAUCCUGCAAGAUGUCUGCAGUGAGGUGCCAGGUUGGAGCAGAGGAAGAGCCUUACACUUCAUCCCUGAAGUCACAUUUGAAGGAAGACCCUCAAGGUGGAGGGCUUCUAAUUACAUCUUGAGCUUUCUGGGCUUAACAAUAGUUUCAGUUCUCUUUUUGAAGAGAAAGAUCUUGAAACCUCCUUGGUGUCCAACAGUCCUUUUGGCUGUCUCACCUCUUUUUUCUUUUAUUCUAAUGCAUAAUUAAUCUAGAUGUCAGCAAACGGGCUGAGACUGUCUGUCUGGUAGAUGCAGUGUUUGUAUGUUUCUACUCUAUUACAAAAAUUAACAGAAAUAUGGCUUCGCUUUGUGCAAAUGUUUACAUCACAGUCUGUAAAAUGAAUUAUAUUUAAAACUACCCACAAAGCUAGAUAUUUAGAGAACGCUUGUCAGAGUUCUUUCGUAAAGUGAAGACAUUUUCAGGUACUUUAAGUUCUUCAAAAGCAGGAAUAACUGUGUAAACGUGAAGGCAAAAGGCCUUUCAGGCAUGAGAGAACACAUGAAAACACGUGUCUGGCUUCAAAACCGCCCCCAGCCCCUGCCUGCCUGCGUUUUACGCGCUCUUCCUUUGCUUCAUUAUGCGUCGUGCUUCCUGUUCCACUCAGCUCACUGUCCACGUGGACGUAUAAACUAUGGGAGAAACAGUGAUGGCCUCUCCUCCACCACCAGGCUGGCAGGGGUCGUUUGGCUGGCAUCAGGCUGGAGGAGACUCGGAUGGGUAAGACCAACGCACUUAGUUUGGGUGUGUGGGGAGGGCAAGAGGAGCAUGAGCGGCGAUCUGUCUUCCCUGUUGUAAAUCCCCCUGUACGUGCAGGUGCAUGGCGAGAGGGUCUCCACACCUCCCAGCUUUUCUCUGAGGAUGUCCAGAAGGAACGAGCAAAGCAGGAUUGGCCUCCAGAACAGAGGCCCCGAGGCUGACUCCAGAUUUCCUGUGUCUACGACCUAUGUCCUCCCAGCACGCCUGCCCCUUGCGUUCAUGAACAGUGACCCAGCUGCAGGGACUGCGUGGCUGAACGCCGACCAACUGUGGGGCAGUCCUGGGCUGGGCCGUGGCUUGGGACCAAGAAGACACGCAGCAGACACCAGUGAAGCAGGAGUUUUAUUGAGUUCCUCCAUGUCACAUUAAUACAUUAGCUUCAUGACACAGUUUCAAAGACCCGGGUCCUUCUGACGUAGUGUGUUGGAGGCAGCUAGGCCAGCUUGAGGCACUGCGUGUUAAAGCUGUCCCCCUCCUUGCCGGCGACAGCCUCCAGCAGGGCCUGUUUCUUCUGCAUGCUCCGCGAGGACUCCAGCUCGUACAUGGUGGUCAGGUUGAAGAGCACGCUCUCGUGCAGGUAGUGCCUGGGGUCCUGCUGGACCAUGGCCUCCAGCUGCCGCAGGGAGUCCUUCAGCUUGCCCAGGUAGAGCAGACACACGGCAGCGUUGUUGUUGGCCUAGGGAGGAGCACACGCCCAGGGUCGGCCCACACAACCAGGACAGACGCC
rnacentral:lncRNA from 1 species